GUUAAAGGACCAGGUCUCACCUCCCUGCUUACCCGCUUCUAAACAGCUACUUGCUGCCGGAAACCUGCCCCCUCCCUCCUCAGCGUUAUCAAAGGCCACCUGCCAUUGGCCACCCCUCCCCUCUACCUGCCCCCUCCGCCUGUUUAAACUGCUACCACUCCCCCGCCCCUCCGCAAACGGCCAUUUCUGACCGGCCUGCCCCCCUCAGCCCCCUGACAGCGCUUCCCACUCAGCGGCCCUCUGGCGGCUGCUCUGCCCGCUCGCCUCGCUACUCAAUGGCUGUUGCGGGGUUAGUGGUUUCCCUUCCGCCCUCUGAGCAGCCCCUGGGGCUUCCCGCCCCAAACCCUCGCACCUCGCCGGCGGCCCAGUGCAAAGACGUAACCCGUGAACUUUAUUUAAGCAAAGCUAAUGGAAGCAGCCCCCGCUGGCGGGCUGCUCUUCUGUCCAUGAUUUCUCUCUACUGGGGGAGCCAAUCGGGGAUCAAGGCCCCUUGCGCCAUGUGCUGCGCUCUUUAGGCACCCACUGCCUCAGAGGGUUCACAGCCUCAGCAGAUGACAAAAGGUGUUUUCACCAGCUGAAUACAACACACGCAGGUGGGAGGCGAGAGACCAGUCCGUGCAGGAAAAUAAAGCAACAGUCACAGCGCAGCGACUGCCUCGCCGCUGUCAAGUGUCUCCUGAGGCAUCGCCAGUGGUGAGUUUUAAGGAGGGCUGUGAAGAGGAAUCGUGUUAUCUUCCCUUUUGAAGUGCAAGUGAUGAGGUCAGGUCAAUAUUAUGACUACGGCUUAGAACUGCGUGAAUUGCUGUGAAUAACGCACCGUGUUAACAAACAUCAAGGUUGGGCGGGAAUCGCAUAAUUUCUUUGUACUCUUGACGUCUGAAAACCCGAGUUUUAAGACUGUCCAAGGACAUGGUUGGCUGUUGUGCGCUGGCUCUUUAACGAUCUCUGCUUUUUCUCUCCACCCUCCCACCUAUCCCCACAUUGUCAAUACAAGCUCUUUAUUGAACACACUGAGAAAAGCAUAGGCACGCAGCACUCACUCUUUAGAAAGGUUACGGCUCUUCUCAGACCUGUUGCUGUGUGCGUUAUAUAAGACAUGGGGGCGGUGUACACUUCUGGAUGGUUCAUCAGUGCUGCUGCUGGGAGCGUUUUCCCCACUGUAGCUACUGCAACUCUUUUACACACCCACUUGUUCUGGCUCCUGUCCUUGUAUGCCUUGCUCAUUAAAUUAGUUUGCUUAGGAUAGCAGAGAUAAGAGUCUUUUUAAAAAGAAAGAAUAAACUACUUCAACAGUUUGGAAAAGUGAACUUUUAGGAAUAUUGUUAGAUUUGUUAGAAGUUCGUAUUGCAUAUUUUUGUUCCUUUUUAGCUACGUUUUAAUAAAUAUAAACAUAAUAAUUGCUAGUAUGUUGUUUGUUACAUUAAAACCAAGAAAGGGUGACAUAGCAAAUAAGGGAAUAUAGCAGCAUUGAGGAAGUAUUAGUUAAGUUACUGUAAGUAUACAUAUUAUUAUAAAGAUGAUGUCAAUGUUUAUUAUCAGUCCAUUCCACUUAUUUGUCUUUUGGAUGAUCCAUAGCACUCCUACCUUUUUAGCUCCUUUUAAAUAUUACCCACACAGUACCAAGAGCUUCUUCAAAGGAAAAGUGGAGCCAUUCUUCUCUUGUGUAGUUAAAGAAUUUAUAAAUAACUAUUAAACUUACCACUUAUUCAUCAUACUUUAGAAACAAGCAUAUAAACACAAAAAUAUACAUUAUUUCUUUAAAGAAAACCAUUCUUAAUACUGUUCCUUAUUUUGGUUUAGUUAUGGUGAAUAAAAAGAUGUGAAGUUAACAUUGCAAGAGUUAAUUGCUUAUUUGUGUAGAAUAAUACACUUUAACAUUUUAUGUAUAAAUAUACACAUUUUACUGUAAUAGAACAUUUGACAGUAAUGAAUCAAUAAACUGUUAAUAUAAUAUUUUCAAGAAUCAGUUUUUACACAAAAUUAACUUGCUUGUUUAAAAAAAUGAAAGGGAAAGGAUGUCUAAAGAGCUGAGAAGGCUAAAGAGAGAAGAGCAGUAGCAGAGCACAGAGGAAAGCCGUAUCUUGAACAAAAAGAAUCAAAACAUAAUCAGAGGUAACAAUUCUCUUUUGAGAUCCUGAUGAUAAACCACCACUCUGUCUGGAGUACAAAGCCAUUAGAAGCUCUUCAUGGAAUUAUAUUGGUACUCUCUCUUUGUCUAUUUAUAGACACCAAGUUUUCCAUUCAUCAUGUAAUUUAUGUAAGUUAUACUCGACUAUCUUUGAACCAUUUUUGUAAUGUUGAUUGCAUCAAGUGAAACUUUUGGGCCUGAUUUUCCUGUCAUUUACACUGGUGUUACUUCAUUUACUUCAGCGGAGUAACACUGGGCAUGAACUUCAUUCCCUGUGUCUUUUAAAUAAAUGUAACAUUUUUAGUUUACGCGUUUGGCUUUCAGGACCGAUAUUUUCUCUCUGGUGUUUGGUGUAUUUUUUUAGUAGCUUAAAUAAAAAAUAACCCAAUCCUACAACACUUAAAGAACUAGUCCACUCUGAGUAGAUUUCCUAGACCUGAAGAAGAGCUCUGUAUAAGCUUGAAAGCUUGUCUGUCUCACCAAUGGAAGUUGUCUGAUAGAAGGUGGGUGACCCAAUAUCUUUUAUCUUUAGUCCUACUGAAGACAGUAGGAUUACUUGCAUGAGUAAUAGCCACAAGUGAGGGCACAUGGGUCUUUCAAAUAAUAUUAGAGUAUGUUGCACAAUAAAUAAAUAAAAUCUUGCUCCAUUGACAUGUCUGUUGGCAGAAUUUACCUUUAAAUUUCCUGUACUAUAAGCCAAGUGAUAGGGCUACAGCCUAAGCUAGUUCAUUAGAGCUACAUGGCUUUACACCAGUUAAGUGUCUGGCUCAUAGCAGUUAUUAACUCUUGUCAGCAUUUUGCUUCUUGUAGAGUGAACCAUGUGGCCCAAAUAUAGUAUGGGAAUGUCUAGAGUUUAUUUUUCCCCCUCAGAUGUGUGUACUGGUACCAAAACUAAAGAUUGUAAAAGAAUACACAUCUAGACAAUAUGACAUUGUAGCACUAGGCAUAUCAGUAUAAUCAGACUGUAGCACAGGACUCCUCCUAAUCCAUGUUAUAAAAUACCUGUUCCUAUGUAAUAAAUUCUGGUCAAGGAUUCUGUUUUUUGAUUAAGACAAAAAGUGUAUAUAUCAUGUCAAGACAUCAGCAGUUAUUUUCUGUGUUUAAAGGCUCAUUUUUGAAAUCCAUACACAAACCACUCAAGAUUUUACUAAAAAGCUGUUUUUUCUGAGAAGUUAUUUUUAGUGAUCUGCAGUCAGCCACUGUAGCCAUCUUGCUAAAUGGCAGAUUGAACAAAUGAAGGAUGUGGAUUUCUUUCAUAUGAAGGAAAUAUAAAAUAUUGUGUGAAAGUAAUUAUUAUUUAAAUUAUAGCAGAAAUACAUAUGUUUGUCCUUUUAGCACACUUCAAGACUUUCUAAGGAAAACUGAAAGUGUAUAGUAGAAAAGUAAAUAAUCAAUUGUGCAAUAGACAGUGUACCUGUGAACAUAAAAAAGAACAGAAUUAGUAAGGGAAAAAUCAGUUUUAUAUGAGCCCAUGUCAAGAAAGACAAUUAUUUGAUGAAAGGCACUGAGUCUUAAGACUCUGUCGAAGUCAAUUUAAUUGAUUGAAAUAGCAGCUAGCCCCAAAGUACUUUUUAAUAAAACAGUCACUCCAUUCUGAGAUGAACCCUCUGUGUGGUUAAUGAUCUAAUCAGAAACCAAAAAUUAGAAACACUCAUGUUAGUUUUUUUUUUUUAAGUGGAAUAUCUUUAAAUUGGUGAGCAUUUUCUUGACAACCUAAACUCUUCACUGAAAGAGGAUGCUGGUUUAUGCGUGAGAAUUUCUCAACAUCAAAAAAUGAGAAGAAGGCUAGGCAAAGAGAUUAGAUCACUGAUUCUUGUAUUCGCGUACUUCAUAAAAUUGAGAGUUUCUUUCAAGCAGGCUUUACCAAAAUAAUGUAUUGGAGAUUCAGUGCAACGCUUUAUUAAGACUUGCUGCUGCCUCACAGAAAACUUCGAAAUACAUUGGGGAUUAGUUUAGCCCAGUAUAACUCCACUGGUUUAAAUGAAGUUACUCUAUGGAUUAAAUUGGUCCAUUCUAUUUAGAGACAAUUGUGCUUAUAUAAAGUGCAAACUUCAUAUUUUUCACUUUGCUUUUUAAUGACUAUUUGCAUUCUACUAGUAUUUUAGUUUCUUAAGAGUUCAUCUGCUCCUGCUGUUUUUUCUUCCCCUAAAGUCACAGCCUAGUCCUUUGUUGACAUCACUAUUAGUAGCUGUGAAAAUACUUACCACACUGUAAAAAAAGGGAUUGUGGGACUAACGUUAUACUGGGCCUUCCUCUACACUGCCACCCCAUGGUAGGACUGUGUGAGAGGCAGUUUUGUUUUUUUUAAAAAUGUGUUACAAGUCAAUAUCUAGAAUGAUGUAGGUUUCAGAGUAGCAGCCAUGUUAGUCUGUAUGCAUCCGAUGAAGUGAGCUGUAGCUCAUGAAAGCUUAUGCUCAAAUAAAUUUGUUAGUCUGUAAGGUGCCACAAGUACUCCUUUUCUUUUUAGAGUGAUGUAGUAGUAAGAUGAUUGAACAUAGUGGGUAGCAAGAUGUUGCUGUCCACCUUCCAGUCUUCUAAUUGUGCACGUCUCCACCAUACAUGAGAUACAGUGACUUUCCACUCUCAAUAGAAUAGAGCACUCUGUGGGAUCCAUGAGUACUGAAGACUGUUGCCAACCAAAGAGAAGCAGCCAUUAGAGGAAUGCCCUUUAAAAAGUGGAAAAUCCAUUCCAAUAGUUACAGAUGUUAAUGUUACUCAGACCAGCAUUAAAUUCCCCAUCACAACACUACUCCCUGAAAAGGGAAUACCAGAGCUAAAGUGCAGUUAAGGCAGUGGUUCUCAAACUUUUGUACUGGUGACCCCUUUCACAUAGCAAGCCUCUGAAUGCGACCCCCCCUUAUAAAUUAAAAACACUUUUUUAUAUAUUUAACACCAUCCUUAUAAAUGCUGGAGGCAAAGCAGGGUUUGGGGUGGAGGCUGACAGGUCCCGACUCCCAGUUUAAGAACCCCAGAGUUAAGGGAUCAAUAGCAACACAGCACAAGAGCUGGUAAAGUUGAUGGUCUAUGGGAUAGGGUCUCAGUUUCCUACGGUUCUUUCACCUAAGCAGCAGUUCCCUUUCCAUGAGGCUGCAAUUCAAUGUAACUGAAACCAUGGAAGGAUGUUACUUGUAUUUUUAAGUACCCUUUUCUCCACCAGAAGUUUUAUCUAUGGGAAAAAGGGGUUCUGUGACUUCCGGGGAAGAAUAAUCAGUAAGAACAGAUGAACUUCUAAGAAUCAAAUACUGUUUUCUUGCAAAUGUCUUUGGUAAUAAAAACUAAAGAAGAAAACACAGAAAACCACUGACCUAUUUUAUAGGCAGAAUGGUUUAUAAAUAAUGGUUUGUUUGGUUUUUUAAAAAUAUUUCCAUUUGGUAUCAGUAGCUCAUUAAGUUUAAUUGCUAAAGGAAAAUACUUUGCACUAGGUUUGCCAAAUUAGCCAUGUACUUUCUAAAAUAUGUAAAUCAGGAUGGAAGAAUUAGGAUUUUUCAUGCCACCUGUCUUUUCAAGCCAGUCCUAAUUCAGCACAGUACUUAAGCAUGUGCUUAUAUCAAUCUCUGUUCAGCACAGUACUUAAUUCCAUUUCAGGAAAGCAUAUUUAUUCGGGAAUGCACUCAAGCACAUACUUGCAUUCAAUUUAGUCAAUGAGAAUUAAGCACAUUCCUGACUAGGGGGGGGUCUAAAUCCCUGUAUUCUGUUUGUUCGAUCAGAGCAGUCGCUCUAAAUAUUGAUAAGUCUCAAGGCAUUAUUUUAAUUAAUAAGGUGGGAAUUAAAAAAAGUAAGGGGAAGAUUCUUUAAUCGCUGUGUAUCUACACAACAACUGGGAGGUGUAAUUCUCAGUUUGGGCAGAUGUAUACACACUAGCUUUGCUUGAGCUAAUGCCUAAAAGUAGCAGUGUGACAGUGAUAGCAUGGGUGACCACUCAGGCUCACCAUCUGAGUACAAUCCCACCUGAAAGGUCUGGGUCAUCUGUGCAUAAACCACUGUAGUGACAGGUUUCAGAGUAGCAGCCAUGUUAGUCUGUAUUCACAAAAAGAAAAGGAGUACUUGUGGCACCUUAGAAACUAACCAAUUUAUUUGAGCAUAAGCUUUCGUGAGCUACAGCUCACUUCAUUGGAUGCAUUCAGUGGAAAAUACAGUGGGGAGGUUUAUAUACGUAGAGAACAUGUGAGUGGCUCUCGGUCUUUGUUAUUUUCUACGGAACUUUCUUGCUCUAAUUCAGUGGUUCUGAACCAGGGAUAUGAGUACCCGUAGGGGUACGCAGAGAUCUUCCAGGGGGUAAGUCAACUCAUCUAGAUAUUUGCCUAGUUUUACAACAGGCUACAUAAAAGCACUAGCAAAGUCAGUAGAAACUAAAAUUUCAUAUAGACAAAAUGAGGAAGUAAGGAAUUUUUCAGUAAUAGUGGGCUAUGACCUUUUUGUAUUGUUAUGUCUGAUUUGUAAGCAAGUAGUUUUUAAGUGAGGUGAAACUUGGAGUAUGCAAGAUAAAUCAGACUCAUGAAAAGGGUAUAGUAGUCUGGAAAGGCUGAGAACCACUGCUCUAAUCUUCUAUUUUCUUUUUCUGAUGUGAUAGAUCAAGAUAAAUAUUGUAGCCCUCCUUUCCACUUCAAGGUAUGGAAAGGAUCUGAAAAUUUUAGAAGAAAGGGUACAGAGCUACUUACUGUCUCUAAUCCACCACUACCUCCUCCACAUAGCCAUAGCUUUUGGGGUUCCACAGGAUUUCAGGGGGAGUGGCUGGCUGGAGGUUGGAGCAGAAGCUCUAUCUAAAUAUUAAGACUUCUAUACGAUGCCCAGCAUUGUGAUAUCUGAUUCUGCAUGCUUCUGUCUGAACUUGACCCUGGGUUUCUGGUGAACAGCAUUAACUUUUGAACCAUUCAUUUUUAUCCCACUCAGAAGUCGGUCAAGGGUAUGUUGCCAAGUGAAAGAUCACAGACCAGGGCAUGCAGAGGGAUUGUCAUACGUGAGGAUGAUCUGAGAACCAUGGGUUUGGAUCAGGACUUUGCUCCCUUAGCUUCAGGGUUUUCAAAGUUAGAAGGCCUUCCCCUUCACCCUUCCAUAUAAUUAGAUUUUGAUCUUAAAGACUCCACACAAUAGGACAUCCAUUCAAGGCUCUGGACACACGUUUAAUAACACAAAUUGUUUACUCGUAUAAAUCUGUGGCCAUUAGCUCAUUUCUUAAGUGGAUAGCAAUGCAUCAGGUUUUGUGCCUCUUCAGUCUAAUGAAUCAUUAAAUGUAACCUUGCCCAUUCUGUAAGUGUCUUGUGAAGUAGGGGAUGAUUUAAGUCCUGUGCUCAUGUCAAAUACACUAUUUUCGAAGAUCUUGUGUUACAUACCACUACCUUUGAUAAGGAGUAAGUAAUUUGUAUUUAGUAAUACAUUUCUCUUAUUACAGAUUUCUGUGAGUAAAGUCAUUUUGCCCAAGAAAAGGAACAUAAAUCCUGAAAAUAUUUGAGUUGUCUACCUAUUGAGGUAGCCUAAUCGUGUCAAUCAGAAAAGUAAUUGUUCUGCUUGAUCAGAGAAAAGUUGGUAUACGUUAUAUAGGAGUAGGUGUGUAAAAUCCUCUCUAAUGGCAGCAACCAGGAAAAGUAAACAAAUCACCCCUGCAUGACACAAGUCAUCUCACAACCAUUCACUAGCUAAAUAUUCAUCAUGUGGAAGAAAUUUUGCAUACUUUUACUAGUUGAAUUGCACAUUUCACUGAGUAAAGUACAAGGUCUAUGCCCCACUUAAUUUUUCUAAGAUCAUUUGAAUUACUAUUAAUAUUAUCAUAUACUGUUCCUGAUAAUACAUGGCAUGUACUAGAAGAUGAACAACUCUUGGAGCUACUGAAUACAACUGAGGCCUUUUCAAUCCUGAAGUAGGGCUGAAGAUUAACUGGUCCAUCAAUAAUUGGAUAAAAUAGUGAAGCUAAUAAACAAUAGAUUCUGGUUGGAUUCCUAGUUCAAUUCUUGGAGAUUUACAUAACAGCAGUAAUGAUAAGUACUCACAUUUAUAACACGCUCAUCCUGACAGAGACCAAUGUGCUUUAAAACAAAUUAAAUAAUGGGAGUCCAUGGUAACAAGCGAACUAGUUUGCUUUAGCUUUGAAAGAGCCACUCAAGUCUGGGAAUCAAGGCCGUAACCAUAGCAGGGCAGCUGCCCAGGGCAUGAAGCUGUGAGGCUGGAAAAAUGAAAAAACCCAACAGUAGGGAGCGCAAAUAUGCUUGCUUACCCCCAGCGCUGAAAUGCUUAGUUACAGCAUUGCUGGGGACUUAGAGGCCUGCUCCAGCAUUGAAGGAUUUCCUGUAGAAAUAUCUGUUUCAGCCAUGAAAGGCUGUCUAAAUUGCAGGCUGGGCUUAAUCAGACACUUGCUUCAGUUGAUAUACUCCUCUGGAUGCUUGUCUUAGAAAGAGGACUGCUCCGGAAUUCAAAGAAGGAGGUCAUUUGAGAAGCCUGGGGGAGGUUUGUUGCAGUUAUGAAAGAUUCAAUCUAAACUGGGAGUUUAACACAGGCAGAGGCUUUCUGUAGUAGAGAAUGACUUAGUCCAACUAGCUAGAAAAGCUUGGUUUUAGGCAGAAGUCUGCAAGAAGCUGAGAAUACUUUGUUCAGGCUGAAAGCUUGGUGUGACAGUGCACUCCACAAUGUUUUAUGGAAAUAUGCUUAUGAGAGUGUAAAUAAGAUGUAACUGGAAUAGGCUUUAUGCAAAAGAUCUCUUGUAAGGUAUCAUUACAAAGCUUAUAAUCUACUGUGUGUGUUCAUCCUGUUUGUAUGUAUGUAUCAUUCUUGUAUCUGAAGCUAGAAAUAUAAAGUAUAACUCUGAGGUACUACUGUAAUUAUGCAAAGCGUGGGCCAUUGAUGAUGGUUUAGAAUCUUGAUGGCUCCCAUUGAUUAGGACAAUUGGUUGUCUGUUUAUUUGAAAGCCUUCCCAUGUUCAUGUAAGCCAGCCCAGGAAGAAUGGUGGAAUCCGUCUUAAACCUGGUGCUUUUCCGUAUAGCAGGAGGGGUGGAGAUCCAGAGAGACAAAAGAUUCCUGCCUUGUGCCAAAGCUAAAAAAGAGGGUGGAAGAGAACAAAGGAGGCUGCCAGUCAUGAGAACACCCUUAGUUUCCACCUAAGAUGUCUGCAGGAACUCACAAGGACUGUAUCAGAGGAAAGGAUUGGGCCCAGACUAGAAAGGAGUCUAGUCUGUGAAAGAAGCUUAUUGGAACAUCUCUGAGGGAUGCCUCGAGUGCCCUCUAGUGCUGCGCAUCUCUGCAUGAAGAUAUAAAGUAUACAGGGUGGAGCUGUCCCCAACACCCUCCCCCCACCCAGUUUCUCCUUGCCGUACAGACUUCAACAGAGAGGGGAAGGAAGGUGGGUCAUGAAAUGGACAUGUGCAACACAUUUCAACAGUACAACAGUUAUGGAAAGGUCGGUAACCAUUUCUUCUUCUUCAACUGAUUACAAAUGUUUGUUCCACUGUAGAUGACUCACAAGCAGAUUCAUCUGGAGGUAGGCCUGCAGUCUAUUUGAACAGUGACUGUAGAACAAAAGGCCUGAAUCUGGUACUGUUCCUGGACUGUUGGGAUAUAGCGUAAUGAAAAGCAAAUGUGUGUACUGAUGACCAACUUGCGACUUUGCAAAUGUCCAGAAUAGAAAUUUGUGCCAGAAAAGCUUCAGAUUCUGCAUGUGCCCUAGUUGAAUAGGCUAGCAUUCCAACUGGUGGAGUGGCAUUAGCCACCUGGUAACACAAAUGAAUACACAAAGAAAUCCAGGAGGAAAUCCUCUGAACAGAUACUUGUGGCCUUUCCUUCUGUUCACUACCACAAUGAACAAUUGUGAUGAUCUAAAUGACUUAGUCUGGUCCAGGUAAAAGGCUAAAACUCUUCUGAUGUCUAAUGAGCAGAGCUUUUGUUCAUCUCUAUGAGCAUGAGGCUUUCGAAAGAAAGUUGGCGAACAGAUUGCCUGAUUAAUAUGAGAGUUGGAUACCACUUUUGUCAGGAACCUGGUGUGAAAGCAAAGGUAAACCUUGUCCUUAAAGAAGACUGCAUAGGGAAGCUCUGAAACCAAAGCUCUCAACUUGCCCACUCUUCUUGUCAAGGUAAUUGUGAUCAAAAGUGCCACCUUCAUAGAGAGGUGGGGUAGAGAAUGAGUUGCGAGUGGUUUAAAGGAUGGUCCCAUUAAGUUUGCUAAUACCAGGUUCAGCUCCCAUGGGAGAAUAUGUUCUUGUACCUGUGGGAAUAUUCUAUCCAGGCCUUUCAAAAACCCAAUAGCAAGGGGACUGGGGAAAAACAAACAAACGAGAUUUGUUGUUCACCAACAGAUAGAAAGCUGAAAUAGUUGCCAGAUGAACCUUGAUAGCGCUAACUGCUAGACCUUGAUGUUUUAGGUUCAGAAGAUAAUUCAUCAUAUGUUGGAUAGGAGCUCACUCCAGAGGAACACCGUUCUGGUGGAACUGGAUACUUCUAUGUAGCCAGGCCCUCUUGGAGAGUCACCUAUGGUAGGAAGAUGGAUCUGGCUAUGUCCAGACAUAGUGGCCACUCAUAGUGAUCGGAGAAGGACCUGCUCAUUUGGUCUGCAAGCAUAUUCUGCACCCCUGGAAGAGUAACAUGGCUACCAAUCUGAAACCUGUCACUAUAUAAACUGGGGUCCAAGAAGGAGCCCAGCAGAAGGAACAGAAGAAUAAGAAGGAAAGACCUGGAAGAAGAGAAUAACUCAUCUUUAAGACACAGCCUAAGAUCAAAGCUGCUAAGAAUCCUCUGCAUGACCGUGACGUGCAGCAGCCAGGAUCCAGACAAGACUGACCUUCUUGUCUGCCUGCCUGAUCAGGAUUGGUGAGCAUAGCAUUGUAUGCUUAGCAUGUGUAUUCUGCUUAGUAAUGGUUAAUAAAUAGAGGAUAAGGAUAUUUCGUGUAAGGCUUUUUCACUGGUAAAAGGUCCUGCAAACCCACAGAAGAUUACGCCCUGAGCCCUAGGAACAGGGUAAGGGUGGUUGCCCCUAGAGUGUGCAAGUAACAGAGAAUUUUGUGUGGGUAACAGGACCCCUCCUUCCAUGUGUGCUCCCCAACCUAGGGACAAUGCAUCUGUGACUAAGGUAUGUGCCGGUUGCAGGGGAGCAAAGGGACUCCCCUCCCAUACAAACUUGCAGACGGUCUGUCCACCAAUCCAGAGAGGACAAGAUUAGUAUUGGUACUAGAACCACUAUGUCUUGAUCUUUGACAAUUAGUGGUAAAUAUGCCCAGUGGCCUCUGAUGGGCUGUUAGAUGGGGUGGGAUCUGAGUUACUACUGAGAAUUCUUUCCUGGAUGUCGAGCUGGUGAG